GACGAACGUUGGCGGCGUGCUUAACACAUGCAAGUCGAACGGAAAGGCCCUGCUUUUGUGGGGUGCUCGAGUGGCGAACGGGUGAGUAACACGUGAGUAACCUGCCCUUGACUUUGGGAUAACUUCAGGAAACUGGGGCUAAUACCGGAUAGGAGCUCCUGCUGCAUGGUGGGGGUUGGAAAGUUUCGGCGGUUGGGGAUGGACUCGCGGCUUAUCAGCUUGUUGGUGGGGUAGUGGCUUACCAAGGCUUUGACGGGUAGCCGGCCUGAGAGGGUGACCGGCCACAUUGGGACUGAGAUACGGCCCAGACUCCUACGGGAGGCAGCAGUGGGGAAUAUUGCACAAUGGGCGGAAGCCUGAUGCAGCAACGCCGCGUGCGGGAUGACGGCCUUCGGGUUGUAAACCGCUUUCGCCUGUGACGAAGCGUGAGUGACGGUAAUGGGUAAAGAAGCACCGGCUAACUACGUGCCAGCAGCCGCGGUGAUACGUAGGGUGCGAGCGUUGUCCGGAUUUAUUGGGCGUAAAGGGCUCGUAGGUGGUUGAUCGCGUCGGAAGUGUAAUCUUGGGGCUUAACCCUGAGCGUGCUUUCGAUACGGGUUGACUUGAGGAAGGUAGGGGAGAAUGGAAUUCCUGGUGGAGCGGUGGAAUGCGCAGAUAUCAGGAGGAACACCAGUGGCGAAGGCGGUUCUCUGGGCCUUUCCUGACGCUGAGGAGGGAAAGCGUGGGGAGCGAACAGGCUUAGAUACCCUGGUAGUCCACGCUGUAAACGGUGGGUACUAGGUGUGGGGUCCAUUCCACGGGUUCCGUGCCGUAGCUAACGCUUUAAGUACCCCGCCUGGGGAGUACGGCCGCAAGGCUAAAACUCAAAGGAAUUGACGGGGCCCCGCACAAGCGGCGGAGCAUGCGGAUUAAUUCGAUGCAACGCGUAGAACCUUACCUGGGUUUGACAUGGAUCGGGAGUGCUCAGAGAUGGGUGUGCCUCUUUUGGGGUCGGUUCACAGGUGGUGCAUGGCUGUCGUCAGCUCGUGUCGUGAGAUGUUGGGUUAAGUCCCGCAACGAGCGCAACCCUUGUUCACUGUUGCCAGCACGUUAUGGUGGGGACUCAGUGGAGACCGCCGGGGUCAACUCGGAGGAAGGUGGGGAUGACGUCAAGUCAUCAUGCCCCUUAUGUCCAGGGCUUCACGCAUGCUACAAUGGCUGGUACAGAGAGUGGCGAGCCUGUGAGGGUGAGCGAAUCUCGGAAAGCCGGUCUCAGUUCGGAUUGGGGUCUGCAACUCGACCUCAUGAAGUCGGAGUCGCUAGUAAUCGCAGAUCAGCAACGCUGCGGUGAAUACGUUCCCGGGGCU
rnacentral:rRNA from 1 species